rnacentral:rRNA from 1 species
CACGGGGGGAGCAAGCGUUGUUCGGAUUCAUUGGGCGUAAAGGGCUCGUAGGUGGCUUUGUAAGUCGGAGGUGAAAUCCCACGGCUCAACCGUGGACACGCCUUCGAAACUGUGAAGCUUGAGGCUGGGAGAGGAGAUCGGAAUUCCUGGUGUAGCGGUGAAAUGCGUAGAUAUCUGGAGGAACACCGAUGGCGAAGGCAAUCCCCUGGGCCUGCACUGACGCUCAUGCACGAAAGCGUGGGGAGCAAACAGG